UCCCUGGUGGCUCAGAGGUUAAAGCGUCUGCCUGCAAUGUGGGAGACCUGGGUUCAAUCCCUAGGUGGGGAA
rnacentral:tRNA from 1 species